rnacentral:rRNA from 1 species
GGCGCUGCCUAAUACAUGCAAGUCGAGCGGACAGAUGGGAGCUUGCUCCCUGAUGUUAGCGGCGGACGGGUGAGUAACACGUGGGUAACCUGCCUGUAAGACUGGGAUAACUCCGGGAAACCGGGGCUAAUACCGGAUGCUUGAUUGAACCGCAUGGUUCAAUUAUAAAAGGUGGCUUUUAGCUACCACUUACAGAUGGACCCGCGGCGCAUUAGCUAGUUGGUGAGGUAACGGCUCACCAAGGCAACGAUGCGUAGCCGACCUGAGAGGGUGAUCGGCCACACUGGGACUGAGACACGGCCCAGACUCCUACGGGAGGCAGCAGUAGGGAAUCUUCCGCAAUGGACGAAAGUCUGACGGAGCAACGCCGCGUGAGUGAUGAAGGUUUUCGGAUCGUAAAACUCUGUUGUUAGGGAAGAACAAGUACCGUUCGAAUAGGGCGGUACCUUGACGGUACCUAACCAGAAAGCCACGGCUAACUACGUGCCAGCAGCCGCGGUAAUACGUAGGUGGCAAGCGUUGUCCGGAAUUAUUGGGCGUAAAGCGCGCGCAGGCGGUUUCUUAAGUCUGAUGUGAAAGCCCCCGGCUCAACCGGGGAGGGUCAUUGGAAACUGGGGAACUUGAGUGCAGAAGAGGAGAGUGGAAUUCCACGUGUAGCGGUGAAAUGCGUAGAGAUGUGGAGGAACACCAGUGGCGAAGGCGACUCUCUGGUCUGUAACUGACGCUGAGGCGCGAAAGCGUGGGGAGCGAACAGGAUUAGAUACCCUGGUAGUCCACGCCGUAAACAAUAAGUGCUAAGUGUUAAAGGGUUUCCCCCCUUUAGUGCUGCAACAAACGCAUUAAGCACUCCGCCUGGCGAGUACAGUCGCAAGACUGAAACUCAAAGUAUGAACCGCCGCCCGCCCCACCUGUCGACCAAUAGUUUGAUUCAAACCACCCCAAGAACUUACCAGG